rnacentral:rRNA from 1 species
UACGAAGGGUGCAAGCGUUACUCGGAAUUACUGGGCGUAAAGCGUGCGUAGGCGGUUUGUUAAGUCUGUCGUGAAAGCCCCGGGCUCAACCUGGGAAUGGCGAUGGAUACUGGCGAGCUAGAGUACGGUAGAGGAGGGUGGAAUUCCCGGUGUAGCAGUGAAAUGCGUAGAGAUCGGGAGGAACAUCAGUUGCGAAGGCGGCUCUCUGGACCAGUACUGACGCUGAGGCACGAAAGCGUGGGUAGCAAACAGG